CGUGACUUGCACGUUAAACCUGGCUGAGUCAAAACUGUUACUCUCGCGCAGAGCUCCGACCUUGCCCACUACGAGGACACGUCAAAUCACAGCUGUACUCUCUCUUUUCGCAGGGUCAGAUCCACGGAGUCCAGCAUCUUCGUGACAUAAUAUAAGCUGUUCUGGAACGGGAACGAACGCUUAAGUCGUUUUAUGGAGGCUUGUGGGACGCAACGAAACAUUUCUUAAAGUAUUGGCACUGAGGAUAUCAGUUCAGACCCCCCUUUGAUUCGGAACAUAGUCUUGUUUGGAUUUCAGCCUGUUUGAAAUGUGGCGUUUUGUGCUCGAGAUAAAUGUGCUAUGUGUGUGAUUUGGAGAGGAUCUUGUGGAAGGUGUCCAGUGGGAAAGAGACUGGGUGGACUCAUCUGCAACUGAUCCCCGUUUUCUGAUCGCAAUGGACUUGGAAUGAAGACAAAACAUGGAUAUAAUCUGGGAAAUAUUUAUUAUCCUUCAAGCCAAUCUCAUCGUUUGCACUUCAGCUCAGCCAAAUCCACCCAAAAUCCAUGAGGGAUGGUGGGCUUACAAAGAAGUUGUUCAGGGGAGCUUUGUUCCAGUGCCAUCGUUCUGGGGGCUUGUAAAUUCUGCAUGGAAUCUGUGUUCUGUGGGGAAGAGACAGUCUCCAGUCAAUAUUGAGACGAGCCAUAUGAUAUUUGAUCCCUUCUUGACACCACUGAGGCUCAACACUGGCGGACGAAAGGUUGGAGGGACGAUGUACAACACCGGCCGCCAUGUCUCACUCCGAUUGGACAAAGAGCACCUGGUGAACAUCUCCGGUGGACCAAUGACAUACAGCCAUCGUCUUGAGGAGAUCAGGUUACACUUUGGAAGUGAGGAUGGACAGGGCUCUGAGCAUCUCCUCAACGGCCAGGCUUUCUCUGGGGAGGUGCAGCUUAUACAUUACAACCAUGAACUGUACACAAACUACACAGAAGCUGCUAAGAGUCCAAAUGGCUUGGUGAUAGUGUCUAUAUUCAUGAAGAUAUCCGAGACUUCAAAUUCAUUUCUGAAUCGGAUGUUGAACAGAGACACCAUCACAAGAAUAACAUAUAAGAAUGAUGCAUACCUGCUCUCUGGGCUAAACAUUGAGGAGGUUUAUCCAGAGACGGCAAGUUUUAUCACUUAUGAAGGGUCUAUGACAAUCCCACCGUGCUACGAGACCGCAACGUGGAUUCUGAUGAACAAGCCAAUUUACGUCACAAAGAUGCAGAUGCACUCCAUGCGACUGCUAAGUCAGAACCAGCCCUCGCAGAUAUUCCUCAGCAUGAGUGACAACGUGCGCCCGGUACAGCCUCUGAACAACCGCUGUAUCCGCACCAACAUCAACUUCAGCAUGCAGGGCAAGGACUGCCCCAACAACAGGGCACAGAAGUUGCAGUACCGAGUCUCCAUAAAGUAUACUGCAUUUACUGACUUUGACUGUUGUGUCUACAUGCAUUUGAAAGAUUGAGGAUACAGUUUUUCUCCCAACAUUUGGCUGUACCUUUUGACCUCCGUAUUCCAUUUGAACGAAUGGCUGCUGAAAUAGAGCCAGGAUGUGGACCAGCCCAAGAACACUAACAUGAAAAAGAAUGAAGAGAAGGGCUCGUGGAUCAGUGCAGAAUGAAGACUGACAUAUGUCCUGCCAGAUAAAAUCAUGACGUUGUAAAAAAAAAAAAAAAAAAAAAGAAAACAAACCCCAGCCAGAAGAGACUUUGCACUCUUGGCAAAGUAAUCCAAUUUCAUACAUCCAAUCAAAACUAGUAACAUACAGUUAUAACUACACACGUUUUGAUACCUUUUUUGGGAGAAAAAAAAAUAUAUAUAACAUUUAUUCCAUAGGCUCUUCACAAAUGGAACCGAAUGUUUUUAGCCUUUGUACAUAUGGACAACUUGCUACCAAUCUGGGAAAAGGGACAGGAAAUUGAACCACCCUACCAAUGCAGAAACAUCCUUGAAUCAUAACUGAAUUCUCAAUCUUUAUUCUCGCUCACGCUGUGAAGAGGAGGGAGAGGCAGCCUUGCAGGUUUAACCAUCACAAAGACUGAUAUGAUGUGAUGUUGUCUGUGGGGGGGGGGGGGGUGUCUUGACCUUGUAAAUAUAAUUAUUCAUGCUAAAAAUGAAUAUGUAAAGAUACAAAUAAACAUAAAAAAAUAAUAGAGGGAAAAUAAAUGAAAAAAGUUUAAUAUUUUAUGCUUGGCGCACUUUCUGGAGCAGAGCUGAUGCCUUUUUUUCUGUUUCAUUGUUUACAAUGGUCAUACACUGUGUUUGAUUAAUGUUAUCGGCCCAAUAAAUGUGUUUGGAACGUU